AAUGCCUGAAAGAAAGGGAACUUACUUUACAUUUUUUAAAAAUAAUUUUUUAGAGUUGUUGACAGAUCUUUAUUUUAUUUAUUUAUAUCUGGUGCUAAGAAUCGAACCCAGUGCCUCACACAUGCCAGGCAAGCAUGCUACCACAGAGCCACAGCCUCAGCCCAUUACUUUACAUUUUUAUGAAUUCUCUUCCAACAGCACAUAGCACUGUUUUGCUAAACUGAAGCUACUCAGCAUUAUAAUCUGCAACAGGGGAUCUGUAACUUUUGAGCACUUCUUACAGGUGAGCUUAUCAUCUUGUAUAUCUGUAUCCUCCUUUUUUUUCAGUGAACCUCCCAGAAUCAUGUUCUGCUGUAUAUUUCCGCCUAAGACAGUGAAUGAAGGAUGGAGUGAUUUCCAAGACUACCUUUCCCCAAGCCUCUUUGCCAAGAAGUUGAUCAGCAAGCAGUUGGUACAUAGUAUCCUGCACCUAGGAGAUGAUCAAUACAAUUAUGGAAAGAAUGAAUUUUUCAGCCUGGUGCAGCCUGGAGAAUCAAGAUGACAUAUUCACAAUGAAUGACUCCUUUUGCUACAUUUUAGUAACAGGGAGAGCUGCUACCCAAUGAUAUAACUGAUGAUUCAAGAACAGAAAUAUGUGUUCUGUGUAAACCAACAAUGUGAUCACAAAACAGAAGAGUGAGUUCACAAGUGUUUGUGGCAGGUCAGCUGAGGUGUUGGUCCAUAUUGAAAUCACUACAGAACUCAGGCUGCAAAGAAGACACUCCCUGGAAUGUUGAGGAUCACUGUUGUAGAAGCUGAAAGAGACGAGGGAAGUCUUCAAAUUGGCAAUAAAAUGGCCAGAAAGAGUAGAUCAGAAAGUUCUGGAUGAAUGGAUUAACGAACUGAUCAAAUCCAUGAUUAAUCAUGGAGGUUAAUCUCCUGCCUCCUGUGUGGAUUCAUCAAGAUGUUGGUGGUUGGAGGUGACAUAAUCUCAAUUCAGAAACAACUUUGGUAAAAUCAGAAGGGACUUUAUUGGCUGCUCUGAUUGAAAAGGCCAGUGGGUAGUGCUAUGUCCAUCAUGGCCGGAUUCAAGGUACUCUUCCAAAUCAAUUUUUGCCAUUGUAUCUCAUGGCUCAUUUGCUUCAAAAGUAAGGUGAUUUUAGUUAACAUAGGGAAAAUUCCAGGAAAAUAAUAUGCCACGUUUUCCAAUCCAUAGUACAUUUGAUUGAGUAAAGUGAAUUUAAAGGGAUUUGAUCCUCAAGCAAGGUGACCUCUCUCAGGUGAAUUAAAUCAUGUCUCAUGUUGCUUAAAAGAUGUUGUGACUGUAGAGAAAUGUUGACAGGGACAGAAAUCAUUAUGGAGUUUCCCAUUUCCUAUUCCUAUUCAUUUUUCAAAAUAAUACAGAAGAAUCCUUUACCAUCUAGGUUUUACAAAUAAAAUUAUUGGAAGAUUUCUUUGAA